rnacentral:rRNA from 1 species
GACGAACGCUGGCGGCGUGCUUAACACAUGCAAGUCGAACGGAAAGGCCCUGCUUUUGUGGGGUGCUCGAGUGGCGAACGGGUGAGUAACACGUGAGUAACCUGCCCUUGACUUUGGGAUAACUUCAGGAAACUGGGGCUAAUACCGGAUAGGAGCUCCUGCUGCAUGGUGGGGGUUGGAAAGUUUCGGCGGUUGGGGAUGGACUCGCGGCUUAUCAGCUUGUUGGUGGGGUAGUGGCUUACCAAGACUAUGACGGGUAGCCGGCCUGAGAGGGUGACCGGCCACAUUGGGACUGAGAUACGGCCCAGACUCCUACGGGAGGCAGCAGUGGGGAAUAUUGCACAAUGGGCGGAAGCCUGAUGCAGCAACGCCGCGUGCGGGAUGACGGCCUUCGGGUUGUAAACCGCUUUCGCCUGUGACGAAGCGUGAGUGACGGUAAUGGGUAAAGAAGCACCGGCUAACUACGUG